rnacentral:rRNA from 1 species
UAGGGAAUCUUCCACAAUGGACGAAAGUCUGAUGGAGCAACGCCGCGUGAGUGAAGAAGGUUUUCGGAUCGUAAAGCUCUGUUGUUGGUGAAGAAGGAUAGAGGCAGUAACUGGUCUUUAUUUGACGGUAAUCAACCAGAAAGUCACGGCUAACUACGUGCCAGCAGCCGCGGUAAUACGUAGGUGGCAAGCGUUGUCCGGAUUUAUUGGGCGUAAAGCGAGCGCAGGCGGAAUGAUAAGUCUGAUGUGAAAGCCCACGGCUCAACCGUGGAACUGCAUCGGAAACUGUCAUUCUUGAGUGCAGAAGAGGAGAGUGGAACUCCAUGUGUAGCGGUGGAAUGCGUAGAUAUAUGGAAGAACACCAGUGGCGAAGGCGGCUCUCUGGUCUGCAACCGACGCUGAGGCUCGAAAGCAUGGGUAGCGAACAGGAUUAGAUACCCUGGUAGUCCAUGCCGUAAACGAUGAGCGCUAGGUGUU